CAUAUGAAGCCGGACUGGGAAGGGCCUCGCUGCCUUGCCCGUCUGGCGCCAUAUUCACCCAUGUCUUUUUGCGUACUACUUGUUUCCUUGGCGGGUCCGCCCGCCAAUUGGACCUUAUUCAAACCUUUUUUUCAGUUGCAAUCAGCGUCAGCAAAACAAAUGUAAUCAAUUACAACUUUCAACAACGGAUCUCUUGGUUCUGGCAUCGAUGAAGAACGCAGCGAAAUGCGAUAAGUAGUGUGAAUUGCAGAAUUCAGUGAAUCAUCGAAUCUUUGAACGCACAUUGCGCCCUUUGGUAUUCCAAAGGGCAUGCCUGUUCGAGCGUCAUUUGUACCCUCAAGCUUUGCUUGGUGUUGGGCGUCUUGUCUCUCUCCCGAGACUCGCCUUAAAAUCAUUGGCAGCCGGCCUACUGGUUUCGGAGCGCAGCACAUUAUUUGCGCUCUUGUCCAGCCGCGGUCGCGCGUCCAUGAAGCUUCUUUCAACCUUUUGACCUCGGAUCAGGUA
rnacentral:rRNA from 1 species